rnacentral:rRNA from 1 species
AAUAUUGGACAAUGGGGGCAACCCUGCUCCAGCCAUGCCGCGUGUGUGAAGAAGGUCUUCGGAUUGUAAAGCACCUUCAGUUGGGAGGAAGGGCUUUAGGUUAAUACCCUGAAGUUUUGACGUUACCAACAAAAUAAGCCCCGUCUAACCCUGUCCCAGCAGCCGCGGUAAUACAGAGAGUGCAAGCGUUAAUCAGAAUUACUGGUCGUAAAGCGCGCGUAGGUGGUUCAGUAAGAUGGGUGUGAAAUCCCCGGGCUUAACCUGGGAACUGCUUUCAUAACUGCUGAGCUAGAGUACGGUAGAGGAUAGUGGAAUGUCAUGUGUAGCGGUGAAAUGCGUAGAUAUAGGAAGGAACACAAGUGGCGAAGGCGACUACCUGGACUGACACUGACACUGAGGUGCGAAAGCGUGGGGAGCAAACA